UGAUAUGAACUCCUUAAAGAACGUGAAGGAGUGUAAGAGAGAAAAGAUUCUGCUCCUCCAUUCAGUGGUAAAGACCAGCUACAAGAUAUGGAUGGUAGAAUUUAGGAAGCUUUAAGAAAACCUAUGCAAGAGCUAGUUCUUAGCCUUUCCUGGAACAUUGUCCCAGUUGUGACUUUACUGAAAACAUGGACUCUUAUUAGAACCACCUGGGGAGUUUGAAAAAUUAAGGCAGCCCUGGCUCCCGGCUGGAGAUUCUGGUUCAAUUGGCUUGGAUGAGGCCUGGCAGUGGGAUUUGUAAGACUUCCCAGGUGAUUCUAACAUGCAGCCAGGGCUGAGCACCUCUGAUGGAACAUCUCCGUCCUUUUAGAGAUGAGGAAAUUGAAGCUUAGAGAACUACCUGCGUCUCGACCAAGACAUUCUGUUUCUUACAAUUCUACUUUAAAUGAAUAUUUGAAUGCUCACAGAUUAUCCUUUUAAAUCUCAGCAUCUCCAUUCUUGAAUUCAUUGUGUCUCUCUCAGAUGGCUGGACGUCGUGGAAUGUCUUCUUUCAGGAAGGAGACGUGGGCUUCUACUUUCUAAGUCCCGGCAUAAAAAUGCUUUUCCCCUGCAUUCUCGCUUGGAUGGCCACUUUAUUAAAGCAGACUUUCUCGAUUCUACUGUGCAUGCGAAUCACCUGGGGAGCUUGUUAACUGAAGAGUCAGAUGGAGAAGUUUUGGAUGGAGGCUGCAGUGCUAUAUUCCCAUUUCUAACAUGCUCUCAGGUGAUGCUGCCCUGCUGGUGGCUCGUGAACGACACCUUGAGUAGCAAGAGUGAAGUGGAGUCUGCCCACAGACUUUUCCGCUCCCUUUGUCAAGGGCCUUCAGGGAAUUUUUCUUGUUAUCCCUUUAUGAGAACCCCACCCUUAGCCACAGGGAUUGCUCUGUGGUUAUUGGAGGAGUGAAGGUUUAUUUCCCCCGAGAUCGUUAUACUGAGAAGCUUGUUAGUCAGAGUAGCCAGGAGACAUCGUGACUGCUAUCGGGUGAGACUGUUUAUCAAAGCCAAGUAGAAUCAAGUUGAGAGACGGAUGGAGAGUUCUGAUGUCUGAUGUCAUCACUUGAGCCUCUGGAAUUAAUUGUAGCUAAAGAUUUAUCCACAGAAUUUCCCAGGGCUUGGCAUGGAGGAAGUAGUCAGUAAAUAUUUUUGGAUGAAUGAUGAAAAAGCCUUAAUUUGAGUCUAUCCCCAAACCCCUAUGAGCUCAGGAACAGCUGAGGUGAAGUCAUAUAGUCCCAGCUGAGAUGAAGACAUAACCGGAGGUGACAAACCUAGAGAAGAGAGAGACAGGUUGAUGUGUCUAUGAGAGGACAUGAGAGCUGCCUUUGGAUGUUGAAACACUUUCUACACGGCAGAGAUAUGCCAACCGAGGCCAAGAGAAGUGAAGUGCUUUGCCCAAGGUUGCACAGCUAUUAACGAUCUGCAGGGCAGACGGAUGGAAGGUAGAGAAGAGCAAGGUCAAGGUGGAAGCCAUGGACAUGAAUAGGAGCCUGCAAGGAUCAACCCAAACCCAUGUCAGUUCUCACUGCCUCCAACUUGAAUGAAGUGGGUGUCCUGCAAGAGAGGCCGGCACCCUUCGUCACACAAGUGAACACACACCUCGCCCUGGAGAUGGUGAAGCUGAAGGAGGAUCAGGGGAAGGUGGAGCCAGUCGCAGGUCCAAUGGCUGCCCUGGACCAAUGAGAGGAAUAAAAGAAGAGGAAGACCCCGGCAACCUAAGCUUUGGAGGUCUUCGCAAGCUGGUUUAAUUUGCUCUCGCCCUCUUCCUUUGAUGUGGGAUGUCAGAGUCUGCUCACCAAAAGCUGCUGAAGAUUUCUUGCAAGAGCCACUAGGACCUGGUUCCUUCCUUGGGGCCUCUCAUUGGCUCCUCUAAGCCUGGCUUCUGCCUCCCAUAAACCACAGGAAAUUCCAGCACAAGGUAAAGAGUUCUCCAAUGGACACAGGUCCUGGAUAUUUCUUAAUUUCGAGUUCUUCCACCUCUUAUGCAUUGUCAGCCCCGUCAGAGCUUUGCUUGGAUGACAAGCGCAGAUGUCACUUCUCGCUGCAUUUGUUGUUUCUGUGUCUGUGGUAGUGCUGAUUCCUGGCCACUCCGACCUCCUGCUCUUCAGGCCUUAAUCUGAGCUAUUGCGAAGCCUCAGCAAAAGCUGACUGUGAAGCUUGGUCCUGAUGCUGACAGGGGCAAUCUCAUGGCAGAAAGAGGGCAGAGUGAGCAGACCUGGGUUUGGAUCCCAGCUCCAACUCUCUCUACCUUCCUAGUGUAUUAAUCAUGUUUUUUGUAUUCUGUUUUUUAUGACGUUUUGACAUCUAAAAAAAUCUGUCUGGGAAGACAACUGCUCCUGCUUCUGCUUUCUGACCAAAACCCAGUGUUCCUCCUGUGGCCCUGCGUGAUGAGCCAGGCCUCUUGUUUCUAGCAGGAUUGUGUGUAACAUUAAACUUUUCUUUCAACAGCACUGACCUCUCAGUGUCAUCACUCAGUCACCUUUAUAAAUUAAGACCCAGACACAAAGCAUGUGGCUGUGGUUAGGUUUUGCCCACGUGCUAACAGCUUUCAUCUUCAUCUCAUGCCCGCCACUCCCAUUGCUGCAGCCCGAGCUUACAUUGUCUUUAGAACUCUUGAUCUCUGAAGAAAAGCAAUGUUCUUUUUAUCCUGGCAUUCAUGUAAAUCCCCCCAGAGGGCUCUGAUUGGUCUUACUUGGGUAUUGUGUCCAAAAUGAAGCCAAUUAAUGUGUCCAGCUGUUGUGGAAAUGAGGCCACUGAUGGCCCAUCUUGGUGACAUGCUCAACCCUAUGGUAGAAGAGGCAAAGCCGCUUGAUGGACAGUGCCACCAGAAUCACUUUGAGAGAUGGAGUCAGUUACCAAAAGGAACGGAUACAGAACACAUAAAAAGGAAUGCAUUUCUUAUAUGCUGACGUGUCAUGCAUUCGGAAAGUAGGCCAUUUGAAAACUUAGGAUUGGAUUAAUUCAACUCUAGAAGUGCCAAGACCUAAGAAACCCAGCAUGUGACCAAAAAAUUAGAGUGAGACCCUUUUGCCUGGUUAAAGCAUAAUGAGAAAUUGGGGAGGGGAGAAUUUCGCAUUCUAAUUUUGGGAGACUUUUA
ensembl:lncRNA